ensembl:snoRNA U3 Small nucleolar RNA U3
AAGACUAUACUUUCAGGGAUUAUUUCAGAUAAAAUUCUACAGUUUCUCUGAACUGUAGAGCACCAGAAACCAUGAAAAGAGGGAAUAGCAUUCUCUCCUGAGUAUGAGGCUGGCUGUUGGUGUUCCCUCACUGCAACCGCCAUAUCCACUAAUGAUCAUUAUUCUCUCACUCUGGGAGAGGAAGAGAGAGAGGACGCAGUCUGAGUGGU